rnacentral:rRNA from 1 species
AUGAAACACGGAGCAAUCUGUGGCUUAUAGAUGGGCCUGCGGCGCAUUAGCUAGUUGGUAGGGUAACGGCCUACCAAGGCGACGAUGCGUAGCCGACCUGAGAGGGUGAACGGCCACACUGGGACUGAGACACGGCCCAGACUCCUACGGGAGGCAGCAGUAGGGAAUCUUCCGCAAUGGACGCAAGUCUGACGGAGCAACGCCGCGUGAGUGAUGAAGGUUUUCGGAUCGUAAAGCUCUGUUGCCCUAGACGAACAGCAAGGCGAGUAACUGCGCUUUGUGUGACGGUAUAGGAGAAGAAAGCCCCGGCUAACUACGUGCCAGCAGCCGCGGUAAUACGUAGGGGGCAAGCGUUGUCCGGAAUUAUUGGGCGUAAAGCGCGCGCAGGCGGUUAAUUAAGUUGGGUGUUUAAGCCCGGGGCUCAACCCCGGUUCGCAUCCAAAACUGGUUGACUUGAGUGUAGGAGAGGAAAGUGGAAUUCCACGU